rnacentral:rRNA from 1 species
UACGAAGGGGGGCUAGCGUUGUUCGGAAUCACUGGGCGUAAAGGGCGCGUAGGCGGCUUUAUAAGUCGGGGGGUGAAAGCCUGUGGCUCAACCACAGAAUUGCCUUCGAUACUGUAGAGCUUGAGACCGGAAGAGGUAAGUGGAACUGCGAGUGUAGAGGUGAAAUUCGUAGAUAUUCGCAAGAACACCAGUGGCGAAGGCGGCUUACUGGUCCGGUUCUGGACGCUGAGGCGCGAAAGCGUGGGGAGCAAA